rnacentral:rRNA from 1 species
GGGUCAGUAGGUUGGUCGUGCCACCGGUACGUACUGGUCUCACUGAUUCCUCCUUCCUGAAGAACCGUAAUGCCAUUAAUUUGGUGUUGCGGGGGAAACCGGACUGUUACUUUGAAAAAAUUAGAGUGUUUAAAGCAAGCUAACGCUUGAAUACAUUAGCAUGGAAUAAUGAAAUAGGACGAUCGAUCCUAUUUUGUUGGUUUCUAGGAUUGACGUA